GAUGAAGAACGUAGUGAAAUGCGAUAAUUAAUGUGAAUUGCAGAAUUCAGUGAAUCAUCGAGUCUUUGAACGCACAUUGCGCCCCCUGGUAUUCCGGGGGGCAUGCCUGUCCGAGCAUCAUUGCUGCCCUCAAGCACGGCUUGUGUGUUGGGCUUCCGUCCCUGGCAACGGGGACGGGCCCAAAAGGCAGUGGCGGCACCAUGUCUGGUCCUCGAGCGUAUGGGGCUUUGUCACCCGCUCCCGUAGGUCCAGCUGGCAGCUAGCCUCGCAACCAAUCUUUUUAACCAGGUUGACCUCGGAUCAGGUAGGGAUACCCGCUGAACUUAAGCAUAUCAAUAAGCGGAGGA
rnacentral:misc_RNA from 1 species